UGCUCCAGGUUAAUCAAGACACCUGGGGCCAAUUAAGAGCCUUCUAGAAGGCAGUGGCGAUAGCUAGAUUGAUUGGGACACCUGAAGCCAAUCAAAGGCUGGCUGGAACUAGUUAAAAGCCUCCCAAUUAGUCAGUGAGGUGUGAGUGUCAGGAGUUAUAGGAGAGAGCUGUCUGCUGGAGGAAUGAAGUAGUACAAAUCCAUAUCAGGUGCAAGAAAGGAGGCCCUGAGAUCCCCGGUCUUGGUCCAUAAUUAGUGCAUAUUCCUGGCUGCAAUAUCACCAGGUGCAGAAUAGUUAGAUCCAGUGUGUUUCUACACCAGCAGAUGUCAUGUACUUACCUGCUGAUGAGGGAAAGCAGACAGUAACUGACUUGACCAUUGGUUCCUUUUUUGCCACAGGAUAUGGUGCUCCCAAGUGCAGCCAGAUGUCUGUGACUGCUGUGUGUAUUGCCUCAGGGAUGAUGCAGGCUCUGCUGAAGAAUGUCACAUGCUUCCACCCCUAAAUGCUGGAAAUGGCAGGUCUAAGGCACAUAAGUGGCACAGUGUCGGGAAGCUGGUGCCAACACAAACACUGGGAAAUAUAUAAAAUUUUGCUCUUUCACGCCAGUCAAUCCAUGAGUAAAAACUAUCUAAGAGUUCAAUCAAGAGUUUACUCCAGCCCAAAGCAAGGAAGGAGCCAGGGCAGGAAUUGUGGAGGAGGAAGCCAGGGAAGGAAUUCUCUGUGGGGAAGUAAUCUGCUACUGGCAGCACAACUGUUUAGCCAUAAAUGGGUGAAAAAACUAUUCAAGCUUGCCUCACCAAUCCAUUGCUUUGAAUUUUUAAUGAUGACAGCUAAAUAAUAAAAGCUCCCUAAAAGGUAACAAAUACACAGUAACAUUCUGGUGGAUUCUCUGCACUCUGCUAUGGAAACAAACAUCUGUGAAAGAUUAUUUUCUUUAAUGUCACCUGAUGAAGAUGACCUUUAAAAUAACCACAAAAGCAAAGCUUUAACCACCUGCUGAGAAAUAAAAGGCAGAUAUUUACAUUGCAAGUGUCUUAACUACAGCAGGAAAAUGCAAAGAUAUCUAAAGCAUUUUUACUUUCUAAGUUAUGUUAAGGUAAGAAAAUGUAUGCUAGUCACUUAUUUAAAAUU